CAGCCACCUGGGUCGACACUGACGCUCAUGUACGAAAGCGUGGGUAGCAAACAGGUAUUAGAUACCCUGGUAGUCCACGCCGUAAACGAUGUCUACUAGCAGCUUGAUUCGUUAAGAAUUGUUUUGCAAAGCUAACGCAUUAAGUAGACCGCCUGGGGAGUACGGCCGCAAGGUUAAAACUCAAAUGAAUUGACGGGGGCCCGCACAAGCGGUGGAGCAUGUGGUUUAAUUCGAUGCAACGCGAAGAACCUUACCAUCCCUUGACAUCCAGAGAAUUUUUCAGAGAUGAAUUAGUGCCUUCGGGAACUCUGAGACAGGUGCUGCAUGGCUGUCGUCAGCUCGUGUUGUGAAAUGUUGGGUUAAGUCCCGCAACGAGCGCAACCCUUAUCCUUAGUUGCCAGCGAGUAAUGUCGGGAACUCUAAGGAGACUGCCGGUGACAAACCGGAGGAAGGUGGGGACGACGUCAAGUCAUCAUGGCCCUUACGGGAUGGGCUACACACGUGCUACAAUGGUAGAUACAAAGGGUUGCGAACUCGCGAGAGUAAGCGGAUCCCAUAAAGCCUAUCGUAGUCCGGAUUGGAGUCUGCAACUCGACUCCAUGAAGUCGGAAUCGCUAGUAAUCGUAGAUCAGAAUGCUACGGUGAAUACGUUCCCGGGCCUUGUACACACCGCCCGUCACACCAUGGGAGUGGGCUGCAAAAGAAGUGGGUAGUUUAACCUUCGGGAGGACGCUCACCGCUUUGUGGUUCAUGACUGGGGUGAAGUCGUAACAA
rnacentral:rRNA from 1 species